rnacentral:lncRNA from 1 species
AGAGUUGGCAGCCGCGCCGCCGGUCCCCUUGACGGCGACCUCACCGGAGACGUUCGAAUUAACGCCACAAAGCGCAAAAACUUAAUCAAGAACUGCUACGCGAUGACUAGAGGACGGUGAGUUGAGUGGAGGAUCAUACCGGGCUUUCGGGGCAAUGGACAGAUUGGUUCACGGCGAUAGAAGGCUUCUCGGCGGCGGAGAGCGUGGUUGAGGAACCCCACGGCCUCCCAGCUUUAGAUCCCGAGUGCCCAAACCCGCACGGACACGGUACGGCACGGUGAUUCCCCACGCAGUCUGCUGGCGCCCGGUGUCUGCAUGGACGGCGGAUGGUCGACGGCGGCCUGUUGUCCCGUAUGGUGAUGUCCGCCGGCGGCACAAAUUCGCGCGAUGUGGACAAGGGUGUAUGCGGUUAAGGGGGGGUGGAAUAACCAGGCGCAGGUCUUAUAACCGCGGCGCAGCUG